GGGUCCAACCUCCCACCCGUGUUUAUCGUACCUUGUUGCUUCGGCGGGCCCGCCGCAAGGCCGCCGGGGGGCAUCUGCCCUCUGGCCCGCGCCCGCCGAAGACACCAUUGAACGCUGUCUGAAGAUUGCAGUCUGAGCAAUUAGUUAAAUAACUUAAAACUUUCAACAACGGAUCUCUUGGUUCCGGCAUCGAUGAAGAACGCAGCGAAAUGCGAUACGUAAUGUGAAUUGCAGAAUUCAGUGAAUCAUCGAGUCUUUGAACGCACAUUGCGCCCCCUGGUAUUCCGGGGGGCAUGCCUGUCCGAGCGUCAUUGCUGCCCUCAAGCACGGCUUGUGUGUUGGGCUCCGUCCUCCUCCCGGGGGACGGGCCCGAAAGGCAGCGGCGGCACCGCGUCCGGUCCUCGAGCGUAUGGGGCUUCGUCACCCGCUCUGUAGGCCCGGCCGGCGCUUGCCGACACAUCAAUCUUUUUUCCAGGUUGACCUCGGAUCAGGUAGGGAUACCCGCUGAACUUAAGCAUAUCAAUAAGCGGAGGAAA
rnacentral:rRNA from 1 species